ACUGGGUUGGCCGAGUGGUUAAGGCGUUGGACUUAAGUUCCAAUGGACAAGUGUCCGCGUGGGUUCGAACCCCACACCCAGUA
rfam:Ciona savignyi cont_32261, whole genome shotgun sequence.